AACGCACCUUGCGCUCCUUGGUAUUCCGAGGAGCAUGCCUGUUUGAGUGUCAUUAAAUUCUCAACCACUUCAAUUUGUUUACCAAUUUGAAUUGGCUUGGAUAUGGGAGUUGCGGGCUUCUAAGCAAGUCGGCUCUUCUUAAAUGCAUUAGCAGAACUUUUGUUGACCAUCAUUGGUGUGAUAAUUAUCUACGCCAUCUGAAUGUGAAACAGUUUAUAUAGAGUUCAGCUUCCAACUGUCCAUUGACUUGGACAAUUUAUUGACUAUUUGACCUCAAAUCAGGUAGGACUACCCGCUGAACUUAA
rnacentral:misc_RNA from 1 species